rnacentral:rRNA from 1 species
AGAGUUUGAUCAUGGCUCAGGAUGAACGCUAGCUACAGGCUUAACACAUGCAAGUCGAGGGGAAACGAUAUUGGAAGCUUGCUUCCGAUAGGCGUCACCGGCGCACGGGUGAGUAACGCGUAUGCAACUUGCCUAUCAGAGGGGGAUAACCCGGCGAAAGUCGGACUAAUACCGCAUGAAGCAGGGGCCCCGCAUGGGGAUAUUUGCUAAAGAUUCAUCGCUGAUAGAUAGGCAUGCGUUCCAUUAGGCAGUUGGCGGGGUAACGGCCCACCAAACCGACGAUGGAUAGGGGUUCUGAGAGGAAGGUCCCCCACAUUGGUACUGAGACACGGACCAAACUCCUACGGGAGGCAGCA